GACGAACGCUGGCGGCGCGCUUAACACAUGCAAGUCGAGCGAGAACCAGACCUCGGUCUGGGACGAGCGGCGAACGGGUGAGUAACACGUGGGUAAUCUGCCCUCGAUUCUGGGAUAGCCCGGGGAAACCCGGAUUAAUACCGGAUAGCCUUUCGAGCUCUCGAGCCUGAAAGAAAAGGUAAGCUUCGGCCUCCGAUCGAGGAUGAGCCCGCGGCGGAUUAGCUUGUUGGCGGGGUAAUGGCCCACCAAGGCGACGAUCCGUAGCUGGUCUGAGAGGACGAUCAGCCAC
rnacentral:rRNA from 1 species